rnacentral:sRNA from 1 species
GCGCGCGACCUAUACCCGG